GCGACGGCUGAUCGAGCAGGGCGUGAUCGGUGACUUCCGGUCGCCCGAUGUCCUGCGGUUCGGAUUCACGCCGCUGUAC
rnacentral:tRNA from 1 species